UACGUAGGGUGCAAGCGUUAAUCGGAAUUACUGGGCGUAAAGCGUGCGUAGGCGGUUCGUUAAGUCUGUUGUGAAAGCCCCGGGCUCAACCUGGGAAUGGCAAUGGAUACUGGCGAGCUAGAGUGUGUCAGAGGAUGGUGGAAUUCCCGGUGUAGCGGUGGAAAUGCGUAGAGAUCGGGAGGAACAUCAGUGGCGAAGGCGGCCAUCUGGGACAACACUGACGCUGAGGCACGAAAGCGUGGGGAGCAAACAGGG
rnacentral:rRNA from 1 species